rnacentral:tRNA from 1 species
GGGGAUGUGUCUCACUGGUAGAGAACUUGCCUAGCAUGUGCAAGUAUCCUGGGUUCCAUUCUUAGCAUCCCCA